UAAUACAGAGGGUGCUAGCGUUGUUCGGAAUUAUUGGGCGUAAAGCGCGUGUAGGCGGCUUUGCAAGUCGGGUGUGAAAGCCCUCAGCUCAACUGAGGAAGUGCGCCCGAAACUGCAGAGCUUGAGUACCGGAGAGGAUGGCGGAAUUCCCCAAGUAGAGGUGAAAUUCGUAGAUAUGGGGAGGAACACCGGUGGCGAAGGCGGCCAUCUGGACGGAUACUGACGCUGAGACGCGAAAGCGUGGGGAGCAAACA
rnacentral:rRNA from 1 species